GUGAGGAAUUUUCCGCAAUAGGCGAAAGCCUGACGGAGCAAUGCCGCGUGAAGGAUGAAGGCCUAUGGGUUGUAAACUUCUUUUCUCAGAAAAGAAUUAUGACGGUAUCUGAGGAAUAAGCAUCGGCUAACUCUGUGCCAGCAGCCGCGGUAAGACAGAGGAUGCAAGCGUUAUCCGGAAUGAUUGGGCGUAAAGCGUCUGUAGGUUGUUUAAAAAGUAUUCUGUCAAAGAUUAGGGCUUAACCCUAGAUAGGCAGAAUAAACUUUUAAGCUAGAGUUUGGUAGAGGCAGAGGGAAUUCCCGGUGGAGCGGUGAAAUGCGUAGAUAUCGGGAGGAACACCAAAGGCGAAGGCACUCUGCUGGGCCAAUACUAACACUGAGAGACGAAAGCGAGGGGAGCAAAUGGGAUUAGAAACCCCAGUAGUCC
rnacentral:rRNA from 1 species